CUACUACUCCCUCCGCCCGAAAAUACUUAUCAUUGAAAUGGAUGUAUCUAGAUGUAUUUUAGUUCUAGACACAUCCAUUUUGAUGACAAGUAAUUCCGGACGGAGGGAGUAUUAU
rnacentral:pre_miRNA from 1 species